rnacentral:rRNA from 1 species
GUCUAUGGCCAUGCCACCCUGAACAAGCCUGAUGUCUGAUCUCAAAAGCUAAGCGGGGUUGGGCCUGGUUAGUACUUGGAUGGGAGACCACUUAGGAAGACCAAGUGCUAUAGGCA